rnacentral:tRNA from 1 species
GCCGGCUGGGCCACCGGCAGGGCGGCGGCCACCUCGUCGGUGUGGCGGGCGGCCCGGCGCAGCACUUCUGCCUGUUCCAGCCAGGGGCCGGGGC